rnacentral:rRNA from 1 species
GAGGGGCCCGCGCCCCAUUAGCUAGUUGGUGAGGUAACGGCCCACCAAGGCUACGAUGGGUAGCCGGCCUGAGAGGGUGUACGGCCACACUGGGACUGAGACACGGCCCAGACUCCUACGGGAGGCAGCAGUGGGGAAUAUUGCGCAAUGGGCGAAAGCCUGACGCAGCGACGCCGCGUGGGUGAUGAAGUUCUUCGGAACGUAAAACCCUGUCAGGAGGGACGAAAAUCUGACGGUACCUCCAAAGGAAGCCCCGGCUAACUCCGUGCCAGCAGCCGCGGUAAUACGGGGGGGGCAAGCGUUGUUCGGAAUUACUGGGCGUAAAGGGCGCGUAGGCGGCUGAGCAUGUCCGGUGUGAAAUCCCUCGGCUCAACUGAGGAAUUGCGCUGGAAACGGCUUGGCUUGAGUACAGGAGAGGAGGGCGGAAUUCCAGGUGUAGCGGUGAAAUGCGUAGAUAUCUGGAAGAACACCGGUGGCGAAGGCGGCUCUCUGGACUGUAACUGACGCUGAUGCGCGAAAGCGUGGGGAGCGAACGGGAUUAGAUACCCCGGUAGUCCACGCUGUAAA